rnacentral:misc_RNA from 1 species
AAGUCGUAACAAGGUCUCCGUUGGUGAACCAGCGGAAGGAUCAUUAUAAAAUUUUCAUAUAUUAUUUAUUUAAUAUAUAAAAUUAUAUACAAAAUGUAUUCAAAACCCACACACUUUAUAACCAAAAAAAAAAUAUAUAUUUUAAUAUAUAUAUAUAAAAAAACAACUUUCAACAACGGAUCUCUUGGUUCUG